GGCGGCAUGCCUAACACAUGCAAGUCGAACGAGACCUUCGGGUCUAGUGGCGCACGGGUGCGUAACGCGUGGGAAUCUGCCCUGGGGUACGGAAUAACAGUGAGAAAUUACUGCUAAUACCGUAUGAUGACGUAAGUCCAAAGAUUUAUCGCCCUGGGAUGAGCCCGCGUAGGAUUAGCUAGUUGGUGGGGUAAAGGCCUACCAAGGCGACGAUCCUUAGCUGGUCUGAGAGGAUGAUCAGCCACACUGGGACUGAGACACGGCCCAGACUCCUACGGGAGGCAGCAGUGGGGAAUAUUGGACAAUGGGCGAAAGCCUGAUCCAGCAAUGCCGCGUGAGUGAUGAAGGCCUUAGGGUUGUAAAGCUCUUUUACCCGGGAAGAUAAUGACUGUACCGGGAGAAUAAGCCCCGGCUAACUCCGUGCCAGCAGCCGCGGUAAUACGGANGGGGCUAGCGUUGUUCGGAAUUACUGGGCGUAAAGCGCACGUA
rnacentral:rRNA from 1 species